rnacentral:lncRNA from 1 species
AGAUGACUUAGCUUAUGAACAGAGACAAGUAUUUUUCAGGUUUAAGAUGGGUUUGUACACAAUAAGAUGGGGAAAGACGUCUCUUGAAGGUUACGGAUCUAAACAUAAGCUUUUCUCGGGUUCAAAUCUCAUGUGUUACAAUUUUUUUAAAAAAUUGAAAUCUAAGUACCAAAACGACGUCGUUUAAAUGAAGACGAUGCCACCUCAUUAUACAUGUGUCAUCUGAGUCAGCUUUCGUUAAAGUUGACUAACAUCCGCUAACGCGGACUCUUAAUUACGCACGAAAUAAGAAGUUCGGGUAUGAAAUUUGAAAUUUUUAUGCGUUUGGGUAUGAAUUAACACUGCAUAUUUGUACAAGUAGGAAAAUGCACUUUGCGAAUUGCACGGAUAUGAAAAUACCUUUUUCCCGGGUUUGUACACAACAAGAUGGGGAAAGACGUCUCUUGAAGGUUACGAAUCUAAACAUAAGCUUUUCUCUUUUUUAAAAAACUUUUUUACUCAAAGUUGAAAAGUUUUUCUCCUGUUUAUUGAGAGUUGGAAGCUUUCAUUUAGACGAUGUUUUGUAUGUUAGAAGUUCAAAAGUGAAA